GACGAACGCUGGCGGCGUGCUUAACACAUGCAAGUCGAACGGAAAGGCCCUGCUUUUGUGGGGUGCUCGAGUGGCGAACGGGUGAGUAACACGUGAGUAACCUGCCCUUGACUUUGGGAUAACUUCAGGCAACUGGGGCUAAUACCGGAUAGGAGCUCCUGCUGCAUGGUGGGGGUUGGAAAGUUUCGGCGGUUGGGGAUGGACUCGCGGCUUAUCAGCUUGUUGGUGGGGUAGUGGCUUACCAAGGCUUUGACGGGUAGCCGGCCUGAGAGGGUGACCGGCCACAUUGGGACUGAGAUACGGCCCAGACUCCUACGGGAGGCAGCAGUGGGGAAUAUUGCACAAUGGGCGGAAGCCUGAUGCAGCAACGCCGCGUGCGGGAUGACGGGCUUCGGGUUGUAAACCGCUUUCGCCUGUGACGAAGCGUGAGUGACGGUAAUGGGUAAAGAAGCACCGGCUAACUACGUG
rnacentral:rRNA from 1 species